rnacentral:rRNA from 1 species
UACGGGGGGGGCAAGCGUUGUUCGGAAUUACUGGGCGUAAAGGGCGCGUAGGUGGCCAACUAAGUCAGACGUGAAAUCCCUCGGCUUAACCGGGGAACUGCGUCUGAUACUGGAUGGCUUGAGUUUGGGAGAGGGACGCGGAAUUCCAGGUGUAGCGGUGAAAUGCGUAGAUAUCUGGAGGAACACCGGUGGCGAAGGCGGCGUCCUGGACCAAUACUGACACUGAAACGCGAAAGCCAGGGAGCAAACGGG